rnacentral:rRNA from 1 species
CGACCCUAGGUCAGGUGAGAUUACCACUGAGUUUAAGCAUAUCAUUAAGUGGAAGAAAAGAAACUUACAAGGAUUCUCUCAGUAACAACGAGCGAACCGGGAACAUCCCAGCCUUAGAAUCGGGCAUCUCCGUCAUUCGAAUUAUAGUCUUGAGAAGCAUCCUCAAUGGUGCACAGGGCCCAAGUCCACUGGAAGAGGGCGCCAGAGAGGGUAAGAUCCCCAUUGUGCCUGGACGCUAUCACACCAUGAGGUGCUAUUUACGAGUUAGGUUGUUUUGGAAUGCAUCCCAAAUCAGGCGAUAAAUUCUGUCUAAAGCUAAAUACGGGCGAAGGACUGAUAGAGAAUAAGUACCGCAAGGGAAAGAUGAAAAGGACUUUUAAAAGGGAUACAAAGAGUGCUUUAAAUUUUUAGGAGAGAAGCAGACGGGGGCUUCCGAGGCACCCCAAUUGGAUGUGGAACAGUGAAGAGCUAGUCUUCUGAUCGACUCGGGGAAUGGACCAAUGUGGAUUGGAGAGGGGGGAGGGGGCGGCCAAAGCUUGGGAUCUUGAUACGCUCGUGGAACUCCAUCUCCUCGAUUAUGGCAGGCAGCGCAUGCCUCUGAUGUGCUUGGCAUUUGUGCACUCCGGACGUUGGCCUGUGUGAUUCCCAUUCGUCCUGUCUUGUAACACAAACCAAGGAGUCUGACAUGUGUGCGAGUCAACGGGCGAGUAAACCCGUAAUACAUAAGAAAGCUAAUUGGUGGGAUCCCCCUGAGGGGUGCACCAGUGACCGACCUUGAUCAUCUGAGAAGGUUUCGAGUGUGAGCAUACCUGUCGGGACCCAAAAGAUGAAGAAUUAUGCCUGGGUGGGGCGAAGCCAUAGGAAACUCUGGUGGAGGCCCGCAGUGAUACUGAUAUGCAAAUCAUUUGUCUAAUUUGGGUAUAAGGGCGAAAGACUAAUUGAACCGUCCAGUAGUUGGUUAACCGUCCAGUAGCUGGUUCCCUCUGAAGUUUCCUUAUGAUAGCUGGAGCUCGUGUGCGAGUUUUAUCAGGUAAAGCCAAUGAUUAGAGGCCUCGGGGGAUUAACACCCUCGACCUAUUCUUAAACUUUAAAUAGGAAGGAUGGUACAGCUUCUUUAUUGUGCCACGCUACAAAAUCAAGAGCUCCAAGUAGGCCAUUUUUGGUAAGCAAAGCCGGUGAUGCGGGAUGAACUGGAAGCCGGGUUACGUUGCAAAACUAUGUGCUAACCUAGAUCCCAUAAAGGGUGUUGGUCGAUUAAGAUAGUAGGACAGUGGUCAUGGAAGUCAAAAUCCUUUAAGGAGUGUGUAACAACUCACAUGUUGAAUUAACUAGCUCAGAAAAUGGAAGGCGGUUAAGCGCGCGACCUAUACCCAAUCAUCGGGGCAAUUGCCAGGCCUCGAUGAGUAGGAGGUGCGGCGGUCACUGGAAAUUGUCGCGAGCUUGGGAGGGGCUUCCAUCGGUGCAGAUCUUAGUGGUAGUAGCAAAUAUUCAAAUGAGAACUUUGAAGUACGAAGAGAGAAAAGGUUCCAUGUGAACGGCACUUGCAUAUGGGUUAGUCGAUCCUAAGGGUUGGGGAAACCCUAACAGAUAGCAAAUUUUGUGCGUACUAUAAAAGGGAAUUGGGUUAAAAUUCCUGAACCGAGGUAUGGCGGUCGACGGCAUCGUUAGGAAAUCCAAAUACGUCGGCGGGAGCCUCGGGAAGAGUAAUAUUUUUUGUUUAACAGCCUGUCCUCCCUGAAAUUGGCUCAGCAGGAGGUAAUGUCCAACAGCUGGAAAAGCACCGCACUUUGCGUGGUGUCCGAUGCACUCCCAGCGGCCCUUGAAAAUAUAGAGAACUGAAUGUCGUCCACACUCAGUCGUACUCAUAACUGCAUCAGGUCUCCAAGGUGAAAACGCUCUGGUCGAUGGAACAAUGUAGGCAAGGAAAGUUGGAAAAAUAGAUUCAUAACUUUGGGAAAAGGAUUAGCUCUGAGGGAUGGGAACGGGGGUCCCAUUCCCGAACCCGUCAGCUGUCGGUGGACUACUCAAGCUGCUUUCGCGGCUAGGGGUAGGCAUGGUGUGGUAUAUACCAAAUACCAGAUCGAAACCAAAAAUUUUUAUACUGCGAUAUAGAUGUUAUGUAUUAGGUAUGGUAUUUGGUAGAAAUUUUAAUUUAUUUUGGUAUUUGGUACGGUAUUUGGUAUUUAUGUAAUAAAUACAAAAAUAUCAUAUACCGCACAAAAGUUUUUAAAUAACAUAUAAAAUCCACAUAUAUAUUAUAUUUCAGAUUAUUAAAUAUAUUUAUAUAUCAUCCAUUAGCCAAUUGAACAUAAAAGUAACUUUAAUUAAGAAAUAAAUUUUUGGGGAAGCUUAUUAUUUAGGAGUACUAUGCUUAAGUUUAGGUAAUGUUGUUGAGAGUUUGCAUCUCGUACUAUUCAAUAGUAAUUGAAAUGUUCUUUUGGUGUAAUUGAUUAAAAAAGAUAGUUGUUAGUCUAAUAUGAUUGAGACAUUUUUAAAAUUUAAAGUAAUAGUUUUUUUAUAUGAUUAUAUGUAAGUAGAAAUCAAAUAGAGUAUGGUUACCGAAUUACCAUACCAUAAAAUACCCAAACCGAAUUUAAAAAUACCAAACGAUACCGAACUAAUUUGGUAUGGUAAUUGUAUUUUCUUUUAGAUACCAAAAACUGAAGUUACCGUACCGAAUUUUAAAAUAUCAUACUGUAUCGUACCAUGCCCACCCCUACCAGCAAUGAGAGAGGGUCACCGCGGGCUGGCCGAGGGACGAAUUGGGAACGGUUCCAUCGUGGCCCUUCCUAGCGCGUUGAACAGCUAACUCAGAACUGGUACGGACAAGGGAGAUCCUACAAUUUAAUUAAAACAAAGCAUUGUGAUGGUCCCAACGGAUAUUCGCGCAACGUGAUUUCUACCAAGUGCACUGAAUGUCAAAGUGAAGAAAUUCAACCAAGCGCGUGUAAAUGACGGGAGUAACUAUGACUCUCUUGAGGUAGCCAAAUGCCUCAUCAUCUAAUUAGGGAUGCACAUGAAUGGAUUAACGAGAUUCCUACAGUCCCUGUAUACUAUCCAGCGAAACCAUAGCCAAGGGAAUGGGCUUGGCAGAAUCAACGAGGAAAAAAGACCCUAUUGAGCUUGACUCUAGUCCGAAUUUGUAAAAUGGACUUGAGAGGUGUAGUAUAAGUGGGAGCUGAAAGACGAAACUAAAAUACCACUACUUUUAACAUUAUUUUACUUAUUCUGAGAGUCAAAAGUGGGGCACUGCCCCUUCUUUAAGACCCAAGACUCGCUCUACAGGCCGAUCCGAGUGGAAGAAAUUGAUAGGUGGGGAGUUUGGCAGGGGCGGGACAUCUGUUAAAACAUAACACAGGUGUCCUAUGAUGAGCUCAACAAGAACAGAAAUUUAAUCUGGAACAAAAGGGUAAAUGCUCAUUUGAAUCUGAUUUCCUGUAUGAAUACAAACUGUGAAAGCGUGGCCUAACGAUCCAUUAAACCUUCGGAAUUCGAAUCUAGAGGUGCUAGAAAAGUUACCAUAGAGCUAACUAGCAUGUGGCAGCCAAGCAUUCAUAGCGCCAUUACUUUUUUAUCCUUUGGUGUCUGCUCUACCAAUCAUUGUGAAGUAAAAUUCACCAAGUGUUGGAUUGUUCACCAUUUAAUAGGGAACGUGAGCUAAGAUUAGACCAUUAUGAGACAGGUUAGUUUUAUCCUACUGAUGACAGUGUCGACAUAGUAAUUCAACCUAGUAUGAGAGGAACCAUUAAUUCAAACAUUAAUUUAUCGUGCGUGGUUAAAAAGCCAAUGCCGCGAAUCUACCGUGUGUUAGAUUAUGACUAAACGUCUCUAGGUCAUAAUCUGGGCUAGAAGCGAUGCAUGCUCCCUCCGUCCUCUUACCGAACCGUAGUAGGGGUCUCGACCCAAAAGGGCACGUGUUGUUGGCUAAGCCAUCGCAGCGGAAAGGUCGCAAUGGCCUCCUUGAAGUACAAUUUCCAUUCAGCGGAAGGUAGAAUCCUUUGUAGAUAUGUUAAAUAAGCGAUGGGGUAUUGUAAGUGAAAAAGUGGCCUUGCUGCCAUGAUCCACUGAUAUUCAGCUCUUUGUCGCUCCAGUUUAU